UCACAAUUUUAGCUACUGAGCAUCUACGCCAAACGUGCUGAAAUACCUACAAUGAAAGCUGUGAUAGUCCUUGCCUUUACCGCAUUUGCCCUAAUUAUACAUGACUGCUACAGCGAAGUAUUGGACACUACGCCAAUGUCAUUUAAAGACAAGUGCACCAAUGAGACAUGCCGCCGUACUGUCGACAAUAGUGGGAGAAGACGCACUGAAGGCUGCCCCUCGGGUUGCCUCUGUGUUCUCCAGGGAAGUGAUAGUCAAGAUAACAUGAAUGGCACAUGUUACCUUUUGACCACGACCACAAAGCCCACCACUACUAUCAACGAGUCGUAAUCGCAAAGUUUUAGUAGCAACAGAGCAACAACAUUCUUGAAAUGAUAAGUGAAGAAGCAAAGAAAAGCACGCUACUUUUUCCCUCCAAAAAUAAACGUAUUUUCAAGAAUACU